GUGUCAGCCGCCGCGGUAAGACGAACCGUGCGAACGUUGUUCGGAAUCACUGGGCUUAAAGGGCGCGUAGGCGGGCGACAUAGUCGGGGGUGAAAUCUUUCGGCUCAACCGGAAAAUAGCCUUCGAUACUGGUCGUCUGGAGGGGGGUAGGGGCGUGUGGAACUUCCGGUGGAGCGGUGAAAUGCGUUGAUAUCGGAAGGAACUCCGGUGGCGAAAGCGACACGCUGGACCUCACCUGACGCUGAUGCGCGAAAGCCAGGGGAGCGAACGGGAUUAGAUACCCCGGUAGUCCUGGCCCUAAACGAUGGGUACUGGGUAGUGGACUUGACAUGGGUUCACUGCCGAAGCGAAAGUGGUAAGUACCCCGCCUGGGGAGUAUGGUCGCAAGGCUGAA
rnacentral:rRNA from 1 species